ensembl:lncRNA
AUAAUAGCUACACUUCACAUUAGAAGAAGGAUGGCCUUCACGGUAGACUUGGGUGGAUUCAGAACAGGCUUCAUGGAACCUUCCAGCCUGUGGACCAUUUAAAAUUCCAGAACUCCAGCAGAGGAUGAUCCACAUGCAGAGGAGCAACUAAACCCCUGCACCACAGCUACUGAAGCCCAUGUGUCUGGAGCCCACGCUCAGCAGCGAGAGAAGCCAUCACGAUGAGAAGCCCCUGCACCCCAAUGAAGAGCAGCCUUCGCUUGCUGCAACUGGAGAAAGCCAGCGCAACAACGAAGACCAGAAUAAAUCAAUAAAACCAACAAACAAACAAAAAUUACUGUUUAAUAAAAGGAAACCAACUUCCCCCUCUGAGGAAGCCUGUGACCCAUGGUAAGCCUUUCUUUUAUUUUAUUUUUUUUACUGACAGAGAGUUGAUUUAUGUUUCGGUGUAUAACAAAGUGAUUCAGUUUCAGACAGAAAGGUAUUCUUUUUCAGAUUCUUUUCCAUUGUAGGUUACUACAAGAUAUUGAAUCCAGUUCCCUGUGCUGUAUAGAGUAGGUCUUCGUUGUUUGUGUCCAGAGCAGUAUCUGUUAAUCCCAAAUUCUCAGUUCAUCUCUCCCCUUGCUUUCCCCUUUGGUAAGCUUGUUUGUUUCCUAUGUCUGUGAGUCUAUUUGUGUUUUAUAAAUGAAUUCAUUUGUACCAUAUUUUAGAUCCCACAUAUAAGUGAUAUCAUACGGUAUUGGUCUUUCUCUGACUUACUUCACUCAGUAUGACAGUCUCUAGGUUCAUCCAUGUUGCUGCAAAUGGUGUUCUCUCAUUCUUCCUUAUGGCUGAGUAGUGACUCAGAUGGAAAAGAAUCUGCCUGCAAGGCAGGAGACCCAGGUUUGAUCCCUGGAUGGGGGAGAUCAACUGGAGAAGGGAAUGGCUAUGCGUGACAGUUUUCUGGCCUGGAGAAUUCCAUGGACAGAGGAGCCUGGAGGGCUACAAUCCAUGUGGUUGCAAAGAAUCAGACAUGACUGAGUGACUAACACACAUGCUGCUGCUGCUGCUACUGCUAAGUCGCUUCAGUCGUGUCCGACUCUGUGCGACCCCAGAGACGGCAGCCCACCAGGCUCCCCGUCCCUGGGAUUCUCCAGGCAAGAACACUGGAGUGGGUUGCCAUUUCCUUCUCCAAUGCAUGAAAAUGAAAAGUGAAAGUGAAGUCGCUCAGUCGUGUCUGACUCUUAGCAACCCCAUGGACUGCAGCCCACCAGGCUCCUCCGUCUAUGGGAUUCUCCAGGCAAGAGUACUGGAGUGGGGUGCCACUGCCUUCUCCACACAUACAAUAUUGCUAUAUAUACAAAGAGAUAUAUAGAUACACAUACAUACACACCACAUCCACUUUAUCCACUCAUGGACAUUUAGAUUGCUUCCAUAAUGGUACUCCUCCUUGAAAUAAGCAAUCACUUACUUCAUAUAAUAGUAAUAGUAGUCAGUCAGUCAGUUCAGUCGCUCAGUCGUGUCUGACUCUUUGUGACCCCGUGAAUCGCAACGCGCCAGGCCUCCCUGUCCAUCACCAACUCCCGGAGUUCACUCAAACUCAGUAGUAGUAGCCGUGGUAGUACUAGUGAUGGUAGUAGUGGGAGCUUCCCAGGUGGCACAGCGGUAAAGAAUCCACCUGCCAAUGUAGGAGAUGCAAGAGAAUGCAGGUUCUAUCCCUGGAUCAAGAAGAUUGCCCAGAGUAGGAAAUGGUCACCCAAUCCAGUAUCCUUACUUGGAAAAUCCCAUGGAUAGAGGAGACUGGCGAGCUACAGUCCAUGGGGUCAAAAAGAGUAGGACACAACUAAGCCGCUGAGCAGGGUCCCCCUCAAUAACUGGGCAGAAGCAGCAGUAUCCAGUGAUGACGAGAGGCAUGGGCACUUCCUCUGACUCACUUGAACUCUGGCCUGAAAUAGGCAAAGCCCUAACAUACUGACACAGCCGUGACCUGGGCACGACGUUGUUUCUGAUGAGUCUGUUUCUGAGUGCUUAGACUAGACUCAGCCAGACCAGAUUUCACUCUGAUAUCCCACCACACUUUGUUGAGUCACAAAACUUUCACAAAAUUAAGUCAGGCAAACCAAGGCUUAGCUGACUACAGUCACAAGCAUUUAGGAAGAGUGGUGGUAAAAAAAAUAAUAAUAAUAAAUAACAGAGAUGCUUCUCAAGGUUGACAAGCACUCUCUUUGCUGUUCAAUUAUGCCCUGUUUAUUCUGCAUGCUUUAUUUCAUCCAUCAGUCUCUUUCGAUAUCCCUUUUGAAUUAUAUAUAGUAAGGCUAUUUCUUAUCAAACACCAGGCUCUAGACAUUCAUAACUUUCAUGGGCCC